GACGAACGCUGGCGGCGUGCCUAAUACAUGCAAGUAGAACGCUGAGGACUGGUGCUUGCACCGGUCCAAGGAGUUGCGAACGGGUGAGUAACGCGUAGGUAACCUACCUCAUAGCGGGGGAUAACUAUUGGAAACGAUAGCUAAUACCGCAUAAAAGUGUUUAACCCAUGUUAAACAUUUAAAAGGUGCAACUGCAUCACAAUGAGAUGGACCUGCGUUGUAUUAGCUAGUUGGUGAGGUAACGGCUCACCAAGGCGACGAUACAUAGCCGACCUGAGAGGGUGAUCGGCCACACUGGGACUGAGACACGGCCCAGACUCCUACGGGAGGCAGCAGUAGGGAAUCUUCGGCAAUGGACGGAAGUCUGACCGAGCAACGCCGCGUGAGUGAAGAAGGUUUUCGGAUCGUAAAGCUCUGUUGUUAGAGAAGAAUGAUGGUGGGAGUGGAAAAUCCACCAUGUGACGGUAACUAACCAGAAAGGGACGGCUAACUACGUGCCAGCAGCCGCGGUAAUACGUAGGUCCCGAGCGUUGUCCGGAUUUAUUGGGCGUAAAGCGAGCGCAGGCGGUUCUUUAAGUCUGAAGUUAAAGGCAGUGGCUCAACCAUUGUACGCUUUGGAAACUGGAGAACUUGAGUGCAGAAGGGGAGAGUGGAAUUCCAUGUGUAGCGGUGAAAUGCGUAGAUAUAUGGAGGAACACCGGUGGCGAAAGCGGCUCUCUGGUCUGUAACUGACGCUGAGGCUCGAAAGCGUGGGGAGCAAACAGGAUUAGAUACCCUGGUAGUCCACGCCGUAAACGAUGAGUGCUAGGUGUUAGGCCCUUUCCGGGGCUUAGUGCCGGAGCUAACGCAUUAAGCACUCCGCCUGGGGAGUACGACCGCAAGGUUGAAACUCAAAGGAAUUGACGGGGGCCCGCACAAGCGGUGGAGCAUGUGGUUUAAUUCGAUGCAACGCGAAGAACCUUACCUGGGCUUGACAUAUACAAGACAGGCGUAGAGAUACGUCCUCCCUUGUGGUUUGUAUACAGGUGGUGCAUGGUUGUCGUCAGCUCGUGUCGUGAGAUGUUGGGUUAAGUCCCGCAACGAGCGCAACCCUUGUCUUAUGUUGCCAGCAUUUGGUUGGGGACUCAUGAGAGACUGCCGGGGUCAACUCGGAGGAAGGUGGAGAUGACGUCAAAUCAUCAUGCCCCUUAUGUCCAGGGCUUCACACAUGCUACAAUGGUCGGUACAACGCGCAGCGACACUGUGAGGUGGAGCGAAUCGCUGAAAGCCGGCCUUAGUUCGGAUUGGGGUCUGCAACUCGACCCCAUGAAGUCGGAGUCGCUAGUAAUCGCAGAUCAGCAACGCUGCGGUGAAUACGUUCCCGGGCCU
rnacentral:rRNA from 1 species